rnacentral:lncRNA from 1 species
GACAAUACGUAUUGUCAACACCAUGAACAUUAUUUGAAGAAUUAUUAUAGAACUUCAUGGUUGAUAACACAUCCUUUGAAUGAGACUUAUAAGUAGUGUUGAUAUAUUUCAGUUAGUGAGAGCCUACUGAAUAUACAAAUUAAAUACUAUGAUUGUAAAGUACUGAUACAAUCAUCACUAGGUGGUAUUAAUGGUAUAGGAAUGCAAUUCUUGAAUACAAAUGACCUAAAGAUUUUAAGGUUGCUAGAAACCAUAUGAUUCAUGGAAAUAUAAUUAGACAGGAUAUUAUAGUAAUACAUGUAUUGGUACUCAAGUAAUAUCAGGUAUUGAGAAUGAAAAUACUAUGCUAUAUGUGUCUGUAGGAAUAUGGUAGUGAUACACAGUUAUUAUUAUUUAGAAAGUUACGAUCUUGAUUUUGUUGUCUACAAAGACAUGAUUGUACCU